rnacentral:lncRNA from 1 species
UGGAACUGAGAAACUUGCGUGGUGGGACUGACGUUUUAGAUCGGCCCCACGGUGGGCGCUAAAUGUUCCGGCCGGUUGACCGGGAUCGUCUUUGCGCGUGGCUUGUCCCUGCGAGCUAGGGCACCUUCGUCUUGCUCCGUAUAUGGGUACCUGAAAGAAGUGAACAAAGGGGCGCCCUCGCGGCCGUUUGCACUCCGACGAUCAAGUCAGCUAGCGAGAAACAUCAAA